rnacentral:lncRNA from 1 species
GGCAGGAUCCAGAGUCAUAUUUGUGUCUAAAGUGUAGGAUAUAAUGAUGCCUUGAACCUAAUUGUCCUGCUUGACUACAUGCAUUUAUAUCCACACAUUUAAUGGAUAUAAUAGCUUAUUUACCAGUUUUUAAUGAGCUCAUUUCUACUCAGCUCCAGUCCUUGCAAGGGUGAUGUAUGGGGACAACAGAAUCAGUAUUUCUUCUACUGAACAAACACAGGAAUGUCUCUGUUGCUUCAUUACUUCUACGUUUGCAUUUCUGGAUUACUCUGUGGAGAAACCAGGCCAUGGUGUGCUUCUUCAUUAAUGAGAUUCACAAGCAGGCUGCAUGCCAUGUCUGUGUUGUUAAGAAGAGAAAUGGGAAGUAUUCACAGAUUAACUGCAGGGAGGUCAAUAAACAGACAUCGUACCAGGAAACAAGUGGAGAACGUGAUAGUCACACCUGCUGCAUUGGAUCUGUCACACAGCACUUUGAAGAUUUGAACUGCACCAUAUUAUGGGAAUCGUUUGGAGUCAUAAAAGAAGGAGUCGGUGUUGCAAGAGGAGGUAUGAUAAUGAAGCCUAAAGUCAGAGACUUAAUGCCUCAGUUCUUUGCUGAAUCAAAGCCUAAGACUGUGAGUUCUUUGAAACAGACUCUCCUCAAUUAGAGGCCUGCUCAGAACAUAAUAGAGCUAUGACAUACCUGGGGCCUCUGAGUCCUCUGUAACAAAUGGUUACGUACAUAAGCUUGAAGACAGCACCAGCUGCAGGAAUGCUACAGGUCCCUGGGAUCUAUCUCCUUCUCUCACGGCUCUUAGGUUUUUUAUUAUCUUCAAAUCUCUAUACCUUACUGCUUGUUCCAUUCCCCAGGUCCUUAAAGCAUUCUUUAAGCUAUAAAUAAAGAAGAUAAAAUUACAGGGUACUUACA